rnacentral:rRNA from 1 species
UUGUCUCAAAGAUUAAGCCAUGCAUGUCUCAGUACAAGCCGCAUUAAGGUGAAACCGCGAAAGGCUCAUUAAAUCAGUUAUGGUUCCUUAGAUCGUACCCACAUUUACUUGGAUAACUGUGGUAAUUCUAGAGCUAAUACAUGCAAACAGAGCUCCGACCGGAGACGGGAGGAGUGCUUUUAUUAGAUCAAAACCAAUCGGCGGCGGGCGCGUCCGCGCGUCCGUUCGCCGCUCUACCUGGUGACUCUGAAUAACUUUACGCUGAUCGCACGGUCUCGCACCGGCGACGCAUCUUUCAAAUGUCUGCCUUAUCAACUGUCGAUGGUAGGUUCUGCGCCUACCAUGGUCGUAACGGGUAACGGGGAAUCAGGGUUCGAUUCCGGAGAGGGAGCCUGAGAAACGGCUACCACAUCCAAGGAAGGCAGCAGGCGCGCAAAUUACCCACUCCCGGCACGGGGAGGUAGUGACGAAAAAUAACGAUACGGGACUCAUCCGAGGCCCCGUAAUCGGAAUGAGUACACUUUAAAUCCUUUAACGAGGACCAAUUGGAGGGCAAGUCUGGUGCCAGCAGCCGCGGUAAUUCCAGCUCCAAUAGCGUA